GAUGAACGCUGGCGGCGUGCUUAACACAUGCAAGUCGAACGAAGCAUUUAGGACAGAUUACUUCGGUUUGAAGUUCUUUAUGACUGAGUGGCGGACGGGUGAGUAACGCGUGGGUAACCUGCCUUGUACUGGGGGAUAGCAGCUGGAAACGGCUGGUAAUACCGCAUAAGCGCACAAUGUUGCAUGACAUGGUGUGAAAAACUCCGGUGGUAUAAGAUGGACCCGCGUCUGAUUAGCUAGUUGGUGAGAUAACAGCCCACCAAGGCGACGAUCAGUAGCCGACCUGAGAGGGUGACCGGCCACAUUGGGACUGAGACACGGCCCAGACUCCUACGGGAGGCAGCAGUGGGGAGUAUUGCACAAUGGAGGAAACUCUGAUGCAGCGACGCCGCGUGAGUGAAGAAGUAAUUCGUUAUGUAAAGCUCUAUCAGCAGGGAAGAUAGUGACGGUACCUGACUAAGAAGCUCCGGCUAAAUACGUG
rnacentral:rRNA from 1 species